AAUAAAAGGCUGCUCACAAGUCAGUGGCACACCGCAGUUCAGUGCUAUAUUUCGGUAAGCAUCGGUAAUUUUUUACACUGCUCAAGAUGAAUCAGUAUCUUAUUGGACUAAUUGUUAUUGUCGGUCUUCUGACGACAGCAUUCGUGACCGAAGCAAGACGUUUUGACGAUGAUUUCGGCCGAGGAGGAAGCGGACGUGACCUUUGCAGACGCAUGGAUCGCUUUUGUGGACGCCGGGACCGUUUUGACGAGUGCCGACGUGAUCGGGAUUGUAGUCGCCGCCGACAGUGUUGUUUCGAUGGGUGCAAAAGGAAGUGCGAGAGGAUAUGAUGCUCUGCCUGAUUUAUCUCAGAGCGGCAAAGUUAUCAGUCUGCGCACAUGGUUUGGGAGGAUGCGGGAGAUUUGGAGCCGGUGGCGCAGCCGCAUAGACAGCCAAAACAAUAUUCAGAUUGGGAGCGGCUGGACUGUUACACUGGAUUGUUUUCGAUUUACCAAAUGGCAGCAUUUCUUGCAUCCGUUGACCAUUUACGAUCAUUGCCAGCGUUAAACUCUGCAUCAGAUGAGUAAUAACAAUUUAUAGAAACAGUAAAUCAUUCCUACUGAGUAGACAAAGUUUGUCUAGAUUUCAUCGGAAUGAAUUCAUUAACUUGGUUUUAAUGUAUCCUGAAACCUUAACACGUGGUAAAGUUAUUU